rnacentral:sRNA from 1 species
AACUAAACUUGAUUGGAGUGAGCAUGUCGAUUUUUCAUCGGCAUAAAACGGAAAGCAAGGCCGAAC